CAUUCACUUGAACUCAAGGCCGGAAACCUGCCCGCGGUGAUUUGACGUGACGGGCGUGCGGCGCGAGUCGGUAGGUGAAAACCUCUGGGCGGGUUAGGCAGCUCCGAGCACCGUGCAGCCUGUGGCCCUUACAGAGGUGGGAAGGUACCAGACAAGGUUUGCAAAGCAGUUUGGGAGCCUUCAGGAUGAAAAGUGCUAUGCGCAAAUCAUCAUUAAGACACAGAAAUCCUCGGUGCUUUCGAGUCCUGAUCUCCUGCUAUGCCUUGGAAUGGUUGAAUCAGAAGGAUUUUGACUAAGAAACAAGAUGAGGUGUGUGGAUCACACAUCAGUCCUCAUUCAUGAAAAGCAUUUGAGAGUAUUAAUAUUGCCAUUUGUUUUGUAUCUUUGGGGCCUUAAUUACCAAGAAUAAGAUCCUACCUAGAUUUAAUGCUAUUCAUUAUGUUGCUAUAGAAACAAAUUGACAGAGAUAUUAAAGUUAUCAAAUUGAUGUUAGGCAGCACCAUGUAAACUCUCCCAAAGUUGAAAAAAUAAACUUUUGUCCUAAAGGUUUGGCAAA